UUCAUUUGCCAAUUUCCUAUAAAUCCUGUACAUGGUUCUUCCUAAUCGAUUUUCAUACUCUUCUCAUAUUUCCUAAACCCUAAUUGAUUUCUGUUGGACUUCUCUAGGUCUAAAUUGAUGCUAUCCAAGGAAAUCUACAUCCACAAAUCGAUUUUCCUACAAAUCUUCUAUAAGGUCAUAAUCGAUUUUCUUUCAUGGCUUGUAUGAAGUACGCUCUUCUUUCUUUUGGAUCAUGACACUAGGUUUUCUUUAUGGUAAGUGAAGAUCAACGGUCUAUUAGUUCAAGCCAACUAUGAUAAUACACUCGAUUUGUAUGGAGGUGAAGCUUAGACUAGUUGGACGGAAGUUGAGAAAAAGGAGUGCAAGCCUUAGCUCAAAUUCAACUACACCUACACAAUAUAUACGCCAAGAAGUGCUCAACGAAAAUACUACUAUUGUUUUAUGGUUAAAACUUGAAUCGAUCGGCACGAAGAAGAAUCUCACAAGUAAGGAUUAAUCGUUAGGCGCCUUCAGUCGGUCGUGUAGCGCCAGGACUAAUGGAGAUUAAUCGAGACCUAGCUAGGAUUUUUACAACACUGUUUAACUUCUAUUUGGUUAUAGGUGGUUCGGGUAAGCUCUUAAUUAUCCAAGAAUGUGAGACUAUUGUUAUUAACUUCAGGUGAGUCUUUUCAUUAUAUUACUUAUUUUAUGAUUGGAUCAUCUGUGUGUUGAAUGCAUGUAUAAUACUACGACAUGUUAGUAUGCUUAGCUAGACUAAUAGAGUCUUGAUUAUGGAUUAUGGUUUGAAGCUUGUUGCUUGUUUGCUUGUUGAUUGGUAGGUUAUGUGCCUUGUCGGGCUGAUGAUAAGAUCGGGGUAGGCCAUGAAUGAAACAGUGCUCUCUAGGUUAAUGACAAUAUCAGGAUAAGCUGUGAGUCAAAGAGUACUUGAUUGGGAUGAUACAAAAAUUGGAACUAGCCGUGAGCUAAAGAGGCCCAAUACUUCAUGUUGUGCUACUGGCAAUGGGAAGGCUCUAGCUUGACUGUGACACAUGCACAUCUCCCAUUUUAUGAUAUUUGACUUCCACACGUUCUGGAUUAUUAUGUUGAUUUGAAACUAUGGUACUUGGAUUUUAUAAAACGUGA